AUGGCUCAGGAUGAACGCUGGCGGCGUGCUUAACACAUGCAAGUCGGACGAUGAAGCCCUUCGGGGUGGAUUAGUGGCGAACGGGUGAGUAACACGUGAGCAACCUGCCCUUGACUCUGGGAUAAGCCUGGGAAACUGGGUCUAAUACCGGAUAGGACCUCCUGCCGCAUGGUGGGGGGUGGAAAGCCUUGUGCGGUCUUGGAUGGGCUCGCGGCCUAUCAGCUUGUUGGUGGGGUGAUGGCCUACCAAGGCGACGACGGGUAGCCGGCCUGAGAGGGUGACCGGCCACACUGGGACUGAGACACGGCCCAGACUCCUACGGGAGGCAGCAGUGGGGAAUAUUGCACAAUGGGCGGAAGCCUGAUGCAGCGACGCCGCGUGGGGGAUGACGGCCUUCGGGUUGUAAACCCCUUUCGGCAGGGAACAAGCCUUUCGGGGUGAGGGUACCUGCGGAAGAAGCGCCGGCUAACUACGUGCCAGCAGCCGCGGUAAUACGUAGGGCGCGAGCGUUAUCCGGAAUUAUUGGGCGUAAAGAGCUCGUAGGCGGUUUGUCGCGUCUGCUGUGAAAGCCCGGGGCUCAACCCCGGGUCUGCAGUGGGUACGGGCAGGCUGGAGUGCAGUAGGGGAGACUGGAAUUCCUGGUGUAGCGGUGAAAUGCGCAGAUAUCAGGAGGAACACCGAUGGCGAAGGCAGGUCUCUGGGCUGUAACU
rnacentral:rRNA from 1 species